AUGAGUAACGAUUCAGAGUGAGAAUCUCUGACGCCUAUUGGGGAAGGUUUCCUGGGCAAGGUUCGUCCACCCAGGGUUAGUCGGGUCCUAAGACGAGGCCGAAAGGCGUAGCCGAUGGACAACAGGUUAAUAUUCCUGUACUUUCUAUAAAUGUGAUGGAGUGACGGGGGAGGAUAGCACUACCACUUAUUGGAUUGUGGGGUAAAUAGUGACUGGGUUAUGUAGGCAAAUCCGCAUAACUUAACCGGGAGCUAU
rnacentral:rRNA from 1 species